AAAAAGAAAAGGGAAAAAAGGAAGAAGAGAAAGAAAGGAAAGAGGGUUUUAUUUUGGCUCGAAAAUUUUCAGAUUUUUGAGAGGAAUACUACUUGGAGCUCAAGUUAUUAAUUCUUGAAUUUCUAUCUAUACUAAGGUGGUGAUGAAGAAUUGGAAAAGCUUAUCGACCGGCCUAGUCUGUAGCUCGUAUUGAGUGAGUGGAUAAAACUUAUUUUUCAGAAAUAAGUCUUCUUUAAAUUUUAAAGUUAUUUAUUUUAUAAAGUUGACUUCAUAGCAUGAUUUUCAGAAUAAAAUGAAUUUUAUUAUCAAUUGCUUUUAAAGUUAAAUUCAGUUCAGUUAAAUUAUUUUAGUAGCAUGUUAUAUUCAUAUUACAUGUUUUAGUAUAGUUAAAGUUAUUUCUAAAAACCACCAUAAAGUAUCCAGGUGAUUUUACCCUAGUUUGCACUGAUGUGAAUGUGUUUCCACAGUGUAUGACUAGUUAUAGUGAUUUUACCCGCUCUGCAUUAUCGUAAAUAUGUUUCCAUAGUGUAUGACUAGAUUAUCAGAGGUCUUUGGGACCUACUCUCGUACACACAUGGGCUUUGGGCCGUGUACUAGGGUGAUUAGCCUUUGGGGCAGCUCUGCGUACGUAUGACCAGAUUAUCAGCUAUCGGAUUAUUAGAUUUGAAUGGCUUUGCCUUGUACAUUUAGAUUACUCGGUACAUGAGUAAGGCUAUUCAUUGGGUACUCUUUUUAGUGUGAUUUUUCAGUAUUUAUUCAGUUCUCAAAUUUCAGAUUAUGGAAUUUAGUUAAUUCAGUUUUUAGAAUAAAGCUUUCAGUUUCUAGUAUUGAGCAGCAGCAAUAUUUCAUAGAUUUUCAUGAAUAUCAGAUUCUUUAUAUUUGUUAUACCUUACAGAUACUUAUCUAGAAUUUAGAACAAAGAAUUUUAUAAUGUAAUCAUGUUUAGUUUUUAAAAGUAUUACUAGAUUCAAAAAUUCUCAAGGAUUUAAUAAAGUUAACAUUUUUAGAAUGUUAGCAUAAAUGGAAAAAGUAUUUUUAUUUACAAAAUUAUCCACUUACUGAGUUAUAGGCUCACAUUUUUUUUACAAUUUCUCUUAUCAGAUAGUAGCUGAGUUGAGCACUACUAGCCAGUUGAUCUAUCGAGUUGAACUAUAAAAUGUCAAGCAUUGUAUGACUCAUCUUAUCAGUUUAACAGUUAAUAUUUUGGAAUAAACACCACCUUUGGUCAGAAAUUAGUUCCAUGUUUUGGGUCUGCUAUGUUUUGUAUAUAUUAUGCAUUUUGGGUACCAUGGUUUAUAAAUUGUUGCAAAGGUCAAAUUGCCAGUGUUGUAUUUGAAUAGUUGAUUUUCUGUGAGCCAGUGUACCCUAUUUUAAACUAAA